ensembl:snoRNA small nucleolar RNA SNORA36 family
UCCCAAAGUGUUGAGUUCAGCUCUGGGCUCCUCCCCAGUUCUGGUAAUUAACCUUUGGCACAGAAACGGGCGGAGUGACUCGAUGUCCAACUGUCAACGUGUUUGGCUUUUGUCUUUCACUCCGGUCAACACUC